rnacentral:rRNA from 1 species
CAAGGAAUCUUCCGCAAUGGGCGCAAGCCUGACGGAGCGACGCCGCGUGGGGGAGGACGCCUUUCGGGGUGUAAACCCCUUUUCUCGGGGAAGAUGGUGACGGUACCCGAGGAAGAAGGCCCGGCAAACUACGUGCCAGCAGCCGCGGUAAUACGUAGGGGCCGAGCGUUGUCCGGAGUUACUGGGCGUAAAGCGCGCGCAGGCGGCCACGCGCGCCCGGCGUGAAAGCCCCCGGCUCAACCGGGGAGGGUCGUCGGGGACGGCGUGGCUUGAGGGCGGUAGGGGCCGGUGGAAUCCCUGGUGUAGUGGUGAAAUGCGUAGAGAUCAGGGGGAACACCCGUGGCGAAGGCGGCCGGCUGGGCCGACCCUGACGCUGAGGCGCGAAGGCGUGGGGAGCGAACGG